rnacentral:rRNA from 1 species
UGCUCAGGACGAACGCUGGCGGCGUGCCUAAUACAUGCAAGUCGUACGCUUCUUUUUCCACCGGAGCUUGCUCCACCGGAAAAAGAGGAGUGGCGAACGGGUGAGUAACACGUGGGUAACCUGCCCAUCAGAAGGGGAUAACACUUGGAAACAGGUGCUAAUACCGUAUAACAAUCGAAACCGCAUGGUUUUGAUUUGAAAGGCGCUUUCGGGUGUCGCUGAUGGAUGGACCCGCGGUGCAUUAGCUAGUUGGUGAGGUAACGGCUCACCAAGGCCACGAUGCAUAGCCGACCUGAGAGGGUGAUCGGCCACAUUGGGACUGAGACACGGCCCAAACUCCUACGGGAGGCAGCAGUAGGGAAUCUUCGGCAAUGGACGAAAGUCUGACCGAGCAACGCCGCGUGAGUGAAGAAGGUUUUCGGAUCGUAAAACUCUGUUGUUAGAGAAGAAUAAGGAUGAGAGUAACUGUUCAUCCCUUGACGGUAUCUAACCAGAAAGCCACGGCUAACU